rnacentral:lncRNA from 1 species
AAAAUAAACAGACAUUAACAACUAUAGGUCACCGUACGGCCUUCAACAAUGAGCAAAGCCCAUACCGCAUAGUCAGCUAUAAAAGGCCCCGAUAAGACAAUGUAAAACAAUUCAAACGAGAAAACUAACGGCCUUAUUUAUGUAAAAAAAAACUGAACGAAAAACAAACAUGUAACACAUAAACAAACGACAACCACUGAAUUACAGGCUCCUGACUUGGGACAGGCACAUACAUAAAUAAUGUGGCGGGGUUAAACAUGUAAGCGGAUUCAACCCUCCCUAACCUGGGACAGUGGUAUAACAGUACAACACAAGAACGAACUAUAAAAAUCAGUUGAAAAAGGCUUAACUCAUCAGAUGG